UUUAGGCAGAACCAACCCAUGCUUUUAUUUCCAUUGCAUAUAAAAAAUUAUAUGAAGAUAUUGACGUACAGUACUAUCCCAUAGGCUGUUAAAGAGGCUAAGAAACAUUGAAAUUAAUUUGCAGUGUUCACACUGGUUGCCAUUCUACUGACAUACCAAAAAGAGGAAAAAAAAAUUAAAAGAGAGAAAAGAAAAAUAAAUGAAAAUCAAACAAAUGAUGUCGGAUUGUAUCUCAUUUUAGAAUCCCCUUUUUUUUUUUUAAAUAAUGUUUAAAACCAACGCAAUCAAAAUUCUUUGGACCAGGGCUGCUAAAAAUCUACAGUUUGUGUGUCAAAAAGGAGGCUCUGAUCACCUAUGAAAAAGAAUCUCCCCUUUCACUGAACAAUCACCUACAUCUCUGGCUGGGCAUUAAUGGAAUGAAGGAGAGCUAUUCAUAUGUUGUGAUAGGAAAUUGAGAACCAAAUGGUUUAAAAUGGCCAAAAGUAAGUGGGAAUAAAGUUCCAAAGGAGCCUUUUGGGAUACAGUCAUUACUCGUCUAAAAUAUGCUAGGCCAGUAAUGGUCAAGCUUUGGCACUAGAGCUCUUAUACACCUAUAUAGCUAUCAUCGGAAACAUAGUCCACGAGGACAGAUUAGACAUCUGUGCCUCAGGCAAAUUGUGAGCUUGUGUUGAUAUUAUAGCUACAAAAUGUUGUAAAUAGUAAUUUGAAGUUGACUGCAAGAUAUUAUUGUACCCCAAAAGGCUGAUAAGAGGGAUGUCCAAAUGGUAGACCACAAACCGCUGUAGAACAGUAUUAAAACUGGCAAAGUUUAAGACCGGUUUAGUUCUAAAACAGCUAAGAAUCUAACCUUUGGCUUCUGGUCUACAGCAUAUACACUAUAUUUGCUCUAGUGUAACUGAUUUUUCCUUACAUAGAGUUGGGAACAAACACUGACCAAGGCUUUGUGUCUCAAAGAAAACAAAAAAUAAAUUAAAAGGUUGGACUCAACUCCCUCUCUUACAUUAUUUUCUGAUUACACAAGCACAUUUCUUUAUAAUGCCUAGGAAGAUUCAUGUAUCAUAUAAAUAUUAUAGUGCAUCUAUAUUAUUCUAUACAAUUCUAUCUACACAUCAGAUCCUUUACAAAAACGAACAAAACCAGAAGAACUUUGGAUUUUAAAACACUAAUACUAGUGUCGUUUUUAUAUAACAUAAUAGAAAAUAUUCAAGAGUUGUCUAUACACAUGCAGCAUAGCUAAUGCUAAUUUCAGCUACAGAAGGAGUAUUAUAUCUCUAUUAUCAUACAUUGGAGGUGCCUUGAGGUGUUGUGAGGUGUAGACAUUAAAUCUGGGUUUAUGUACAGUUCAAACAAAAUAUAUUCACACAGACAACCCAUAAUUGCCAAAAAUCAAGGGCUAUUGUAUCUGAACAUCAGACCUAUUGAUAUACGCAGUUUACAUUUUCUGUACGACAAUACAAUUCUACAGAUAAAGUUGCUGGAGUCAGAAAUCUUGCUUUUUUUUUUCUAAAUGUGUCGCAGCUUGCAGUUUAGAAAUAAAACAUUUCUCUAUUGAUACAAGUAGGGGAUGCCGAUGACCUGCUAGUUUUGAAUUCACUUUACAAUUAAAUUGACAACGGUCUUGUGAAGUCAACUGCAAAGCAAGAUGGCUGCUCUUUAUCUAUAAAAUAAUAUUACACCUGCAUAUGCCAGCAUGUCAUUUAAUUUCAUGAUUCAAAAUAGUUAAAAUUUAGCAGGGCAAACAAGGGCUUUCGUGAAAUAUGUAAUAAAAUGAGCAUUUAAAAUCUAAAGGACCAAUGGCAUUUUAAGUCCUCAUCAAAAUAUGGUUGCUAAAGUUCUUGUACCAGCCUAGAAUACACCUCUUAGCAGUGACAAUUUUAUACAGCCCUGCUGAUGUUAAUAGAGGGAUAUUCCACAUUGAUAUAAGACUUAGAAAGACUAAAUAAUCAGGACUGAACUUUAUAUGGUCAUUAGUCCUUAAAGGGGUUAAAUGUCAUUUUCCAAUCAUAUAAAUUCAUUUCUCAGUUGAUCGAACUGGCAAAGUGUCCAGAAGAACUAAGACAUUCAGCACUACCAGAUACUUUCAUUAUUUGUGCAGGAACCCCAGAAGGGCACAAACACUAAUCAACUUUCUAUAUGUUCAGCCUAGAUCCAUCAGCCGAUUAAAGAAUUUAAUGUUGAAGUGUAUGGACAGAAAAAAAUGUAAUGCCCAGCCAUUCUCUCUUAACAUUCUCUCAUCUAAAUGCAGCAAAACACAAUAAAAUAUAUUGAAAUUUAAGGCACAGCCCUGGCACCAAAGACCUGCAGCUUUAAAAUUUAUGGAUUUUUUUUUUUUUUUAAACUUUUUUUUUUCCUUCAAAUUUUCCAUAAAGAAGCUCUAAGGUGACCAAGUAUAAUACAGAAGAAAAAAAAAAAAAAAGAUUUACAGGGAGUAAAUAUACAGUAUAUUCAUUCUCUCACCAAGAGUUUCAUUAUAUAAGAACACCACCCAGUUACAGAUGAUGUCAUAGUAAGAACUGGUAAUUUACAAUGAACAUUAUAUAUGUACAUUACAAUAAAUACAUGGUUGUAAACAGAGACAAACAAGACUUUGUAUUACAGGUAAGGUCAUCUGGUGAGAAUAAAGAAAUGCAUGGCACAAAUUAAUACAAAAUAAAUAUGCUUCUAAAAAGAAUUGACACAGCUUUCUGUAAAUCCAUUUCAAGUUAUUUGUUUUUUGUCUUUGAAUGCAAACUGUUGUACCUGCUGUAUAAUCCUCCAUGAAAAAAAAAUGAGGACGACCCACGAUGACAAACAGAAAGCCUUUUGCAGAGAACAGUAUCUUGCAAGCUAAAGUAUACUGUUACGCAAAUAAAAUGUAUCUAUAUAGCACUGCCAAAUGGGUUGCACUUUAUAUAUAUAUAUAUAUAUAAAAACCAAAAAAAAAAAACAGAAAGCCACUUGUCAAAUGUAUAACCUUUUGAGCUCCAGAGGAACGCAUCGCUAUCAACUAGCACUCAAAUGGUUAAAGUGGCGUGUAAGGCUACUGCACACUUUGGCAAAGGUGAAAAAAAAUAAAAUUAAAAUAAAUAAAAGAUUGUACAGUGCAUUAGAUCCCUGGAUCUACUAAAAGUAUGUAUUCAUGUAUCGUUGAUUGUCCAUGGAUGAUCUGUGUUUUCUUUCGAGUGAGUGGUACUAUAUAUAUAUAUUUUUAUUUUUAUUUUAUUUUUUUCAGUUUUAUUUGAAUGCGGUGACAUGUUUCUUAAUAUGAUGUAAUUUCCAUUAGUGCAGUUGUUAACCCUUUCAGGUCUAUCUUUAUUUUUGGAAAUAAUAUUGCUUUGUUUUUCAUUGUUACAUUCCAGGCACUCCAUGGGUAGGAGGAAAAAAAGGGUCAGAAUGGAGAAAAAAAAUAAACUAACUAGACAUGCCAGACAGGGCUUGCUGGAGGGUAGGCUGCAGAAAAUGAAACGUUUUCUAGGUAAUAACUGAAAUAUCAUCAGAAUGCACACAAAAAAUAAAAAAAUAAAAAAAUAAAAAUAUCAAUAAGACAAUUAAGGCUAAGCCAAAGGCUGAAAACUUUCGUAAAGACUUUUAGCUGAACUUUGCUUAUCUUGCUUUCCCAUCCGAUACAUAUUUCAGGCUGGAUUAUAAACAUGUUUUUUGCCCGCCUGCAGCUAAAUGCAUUUUUACAAGAUGCCAUAAGACAUCAAGUUCCUUAUGUCAGAGGGUUAAAAACACUGCAUGUACACAACCCUGCUCUGCCGAGGUUAAAUCAGUUUGAGAAAUGUUGUGCUAAAUAUUGUAUACAGGUUAUUUUCCUUGACAGAUCUUUUCCUAUGACAUUUUUGGUUUAUCUAAGUGAUUUAAAGGCAUAGUAAAGGCAUGAAAACAACUUUAGCUUAAUGAAGCAGUUUUGGUGUAUAGACCAUGCCCCUGCAGUCUCACUGCUGAUUCCUCUGACAUUUACGAGUUAAACCACUUUUGUUUUCCUUUUUUGCAACCCUAGCCAUACACCCAUUGGCUGUGACUCUCUCUCACAACCUGCAUGGGAACAAAAAGGGUUUCAUUUUCAAUCGGAUGUUAACUUGCUUUUUGUUUUCUCCUGCAAUGUAAAAUGAAUUUAAAUCACACACAAGAGAAUCCCACAGGGUCUUAAAGGAUAUUAACAGGAAAGGACAUAAAAAAAAUCUAAAAUAAAUAGAAUGUGCAAUAAAUGAAGUUUAAACAUCUCUCUCUUUACAUGAAGUGUUUAGGAAGGCUGUGCAAGUAACAUGCAGGGGCAGUGUGACUAGGGUUCAUAAACAAAGUAAUUGAACUUCUAAAUGGCAGUGAACUGAGCAGUGAAAAUGCAGGGGCAUGACCUAUACACCAAAACUGCUUCAUUAAACAAAAGCUGUCUUGGUGCCUAUAGUGUUCCCUUAAUAACAAAAUCAAAGAAAUGUGGAAAAGUGCCAAGUUGGAAAACUGUCAAGGAACUGAAAAUGAAUUAUUAUGAGAAGUUAUUUGUAGCUGGAAUAGCUGUACACUAUAAUACUAUAUCUAUAGUAUACAGCUACAUACCAAGACUGCAGAAGCUCAUUUCUCCACAACGGUAGAUCACAAAGGCAAUUAAGUUUAAAAAAAAAAAAAAAAAGUUAAAAAGCUUGAGGCAUCCUGAUACUGACGUCAGUAUGAAACCUGGAUCUUGAGAUUAUUACGUUUAAAUGGAAUGCACACAUUGUACUUUUUGGGCCAAAAAACACACAGCUCAUGAAACAACGUUAUACUUAUAUCCAAUAAAGCACAAAUUGCAUCGGGCAAUACAUAAAUAUUGUGUGAGACCUAUACAAGAAAAUGGUUUGACCUUCCAUAUUGUAUGGGAAAGUGCCCUAUGCAUUCUUUCUGUGCUAAUCAAAACAUUUAAAAUAGGAAUAAAAACCAUAUUGUACUGAAAGGGACAGUGUUCUAAGAAAGCGUAUAAAAGAAUGAAGUUCUACAGUUCAAUUAAUUGCUAUGAAAUUCUAAGGUGCAAAAAACAAUUCAGAACCAGAAGCAGUCACAUCCAG